ACCUCAAGUGAUCUGCCUGCCUCAGUCUCUCAAAGUGCUGGGAUUAAAGGCAUGAGCCACUGCGCCCAGCACCCCAGCUAUUUCUGAGGUCCUCAAACAAAACCUCCCCUGGCCAAGUCAUACCCAACACGGGCCUCCUCCCCUGUUCUGCCCCCGCUCAGAGAUGCCGAGUGACAGAGGCUCAGGCUUUGCAUGUUCCUGUCAAAGCCUCACCCCAGGAGGCCCCGCAGCUCAGGCCAGUCCUUGGUUCACAUGGCCCCACUUCCGGCCUCUUUUUCCCCUAAGAGUGAUUUGUCCCUGGGAGAUCCUGGGUCUCUCAUUCAGGUGCAAUGUUGCAGAGCAACGCUUCUUCCCAGGCUGACCCAGGCCUGCAGGGUCCCACUGUCACUGGCAGGCUUUGCCCCAGCUUCCACCCAAGCCCCGCUCCUCCUCUCCCACAGGGAACGAGACACCCUCUUCUCUUUCUCGGGAUACCCCCACCUGCAGAGGGACCAGCCCAUUUGCUGGAGCCACUGAAUUCUGAGUUAAGUUCCUGUUCUGGGCUUCGCUGUGCAUGACCCAUCUCAGCAGGAUGGCCAAGGACCUCAUCCUCUACGGCACCAAGGAAUUCAGCUUCGUGCAGCUCUCAGAUGCCUAUAGCACCGGAAGCAGCCUGAUACUCCAGAAGAAAAACCACCGUGGGGCAUAUGUUUGGGCGGAUUUGGAUGUCUCGAUUCAGAAGACUUUGGCCUGUAAUCCCCUCUCAUGGGCUGUCUCAUACUGCACUUGGUAUCAAGAUUCUCCCCAUUUGAUGACAGCAGGGUUGUCGUGUUCCUUCCUAUGGAAAAGUGUGCAUAAAAUUGGCACGGGAAACAGAACAUAGAGGGAAAUAUUUAAGGCAAAAAUCUUGAUAGAAAAAUCGAGAAUACAAAUGGAGUCAUAAAGCUCUAAAAUGUGUACAUCUGUAUGUAAACUGGAGUUGGGAAAAUAAAAUCAGAAAGACAUUUUAUGCACAAGUGGCCCAUGUGAAGAAACUGCGGUGAGAAGAUGGAAAUGAGCAUACCUUCAAGGCAGGAGCAAAGGCUGCCUCCCGUCUUCACCAGUAGUCUCCUGGCCAGUACAGUGUGAAAUGGCAGUUCAGAGAGCAGCAGCUGGAAUGGAAGGCAAGGCCUACAUCAUGAGAGGAGACAGGGUGCGGAUGUGCAUGGGUCUUUUCUUCACUUGGUGACAUUAGAAAACCAGUUGGGAAAUAGUUGUCAAGGUAAUGGCCCCCAAAUAAAGCCUAGAGGACACUUGUGGAAAGGCACAGAGUUUUGCAUAAGAUUUGCCAAAUAAUUUUGUUGCAAAGUCACAGCUAUAUUCCAGAAGAAUGCAUUUCUCCUGAAAAAAUUGCUCUCUGCCAUGCAGUUUGUCAGUGAAGCUGUCCUCUCUGGUGCCAUCUGGAACAAGUUUCAAGUUGGUAAUGGACACUCACACACCUUUGCCCACCAGGAAAUUCUGUGACUCAUCUAUAAUGUUUAUGGUAAGAUUUGUAUAUCUUAAUUCAAAAGAAAGAAAAAGAAAAAAAUUCCCAUCUCAGACAAAGAAAGAAGACUUACUUAAGA